UUCUUUUUAAACAUAAAAAGUAGACUCUGCUCAAUGAAUUUUGAAUAGCCGCAGUAUCCUGACUGUGCUAAGGUAGCAUAAUAAUUUGUCUUCUAAUAGAAGGCUGGAAUGAAAGAGUUAACGACAUUUUUUCUUUUUUAAAAGAAUUUUUUGAAUUUGGUAUCUAUGUCAAAAAACAUAGCUGGUAAAAGGGACGAUAAGACCCUAUAAAGCUUUACCGAUAGAAAUAUUUAUACUUAGACAAAGAUUAAAAUUUUUAACACGGUUAAGCUGGGGCGGCAUCUAUUAAUAAUCAAUAGAAAAUAAAACAAAAGUUUUUGGAAUUACAAGAUCUCUAAUAAAGAAAUUUAGAACAAGCUACUUUAGGGAUAACAGCACAAUUUUUCCGUAUAGAUCUUAUAGAAGGGAAAGACUUGUGACCUCGAUGUUGAAUUGAAGAGCUCUAUUUAAGCAGAAAUAAAUAAGAGGAGUCUGUUCGACUUUUAAUUCUUC
rnacentral:rRNA from 1 species